rnacentral:rRNA from 1 species
AUACGGAGGAUCCGAGCGUUAUCCGGAUUUAUUGGGUUUAAUGGGAGCGUAGGCGGACGCUUAAGUCAGUUGUGACAGUUUGCGGCUCAACCGUAAAAUUGCAGUUGAUACUGGGUGUCUUGAGUACAGUAGAGGCAGGCGGAAUUUCGGGUGUGGCGGUGAAACGCUUAGAUAUCUCGAAGAACUCCGAUUGCGAAGGCAGCCUGCUGGACUGUAACUGACGCUGAUGCUCGAAAGUGUGGGUAUCAAACAGGAUUAGAUACCCUGGUAGUCCACGCAGUAAACGAUGAAUACUCGCUGUUUGCGAUAUACAGUAAGCGGCCAAGCGAAAGCGUUAAGUAUUCCACCUGGGGAGUACGCCGGCAACGGUGAAACUUAAAGGAAUUGACGGGG